rnacentral:rRNA from 1 species
UACGUAGGGUGCAAGCGUUGUCCGGAAUUAUUGGGCGUAAAGAGCUCGUAGGCGGUUUGUCGCGUCGAAUGUGAAAUCCCGGGGCUCAACCCCGGGUCUGCAUUCGAUACGGGCAGACUAGAGUUCGGUAGGGGAGUCUGGAAUUCCUGGUGUAGCGGUGAAAUGACGCAGAUAUCAGGAGGAACACCGGUGGCGAAGGCGGGACUCUGGGCCGAUACUGACGCUGAGGAGCGAAAGCGUGGGGAGCGAACAGG